rnacentral:lncRNA from 1 species
CGGCCGCAGCAACCCGUGCGCACGCGGAGGCCUUCGAUGCCCUCCGCUAGGCCCCGCGCCGCGAGACCCUCGCUCGGGGAACCAGCAGGACGCUCGCGGGCCGGAGGAGGGCGCCGCUCAUGCCUCACGUCCGCAGCUCCCGCGUCCGCCCGCCCUCGGCCGGCCGCUGGCAGCGCCUCACGCGGCGUGUCGGGAAGUGUAGUUCGUGGCCGUUUGCCCCGGCGGCGGAGGCGCCUCGCGCGGCAUUCAAGAGAAAGAAGCACUGAAGAGUCAUAAUUGUGUCCUGAUUUAUAAAUCGGAGACAGAGGGAGACGAAAACCACACUCCAGAAAGUAGCUUAAUCGGACUCACUACUAAGAUGUUAAAAGUGAAGAGGCUGGAAGAAUUCAACACGUGUUAUAACAGCAACCAGCUGGAGAAAAUGGCCUUUUUUCAGUGCAGGGAAGAGGUGGAGAAAGUGAAGUG